GUUUCUGUAGUGUAGUGGUUAUCACACUUGCCUAACAUGCAAGAGGUCCUCGGGUCAAGACCAAGCAGAAACA
rfam:Tupaia chinensis contig173134, whole genome shotgun sequence.